UACGGGGGGGGCAAGCGUUGUUCGGAAUUACUGGGCGUAAAGGGCUCGUAGGCGGCCAACUAAGUCCGACGUGAAAUCCCCAAGCUUAACUUGGGAACUGCGUCGGAUACUGGAUGGCUUGAAUUCGGGAGAGGGAUGCAGAAUUCCAGGUGUAGCGGUGAAAUGCGUAGAUAUCUGGAGGAACACCGGUGGCGAAGGCGGCAUCCUGGACCAAUACUGACACUGAGGAGCGAAAGCCAGGGGAGCAAACGGG
rnacentral:rRNA from 1 species